rnacentral:rRNA from 1 species
UACGUAGGGGGCAAGCGUUAUCCGGAUUUACUGGGUGUAAAGGGAGCGUAGACGGCAGGGCAAGUCUGGAGUGAAAGGCAGGGGCCCAACCCCUGGACUGCUCUGGAAACUGUCCGGCUGGAGUGCAGGAGAGGUAAGUGGGAUUCCUAGUGUAGCGGUGAAAUGCGUAGAUAUUAGGAGGAACACCAGUGGCGAAGGCGGCUUACUGGACUGUAACUGACGUUGAGGCUCGAAAGCGUGGGGAGCAAACAGG